rnacentral:rRNA from 1 species
CCUGGUUGAUCCUGCCAGUAGUCAUAUGCUUGUCUCAAAGAUUAAGCCAUGCAUGUCUAAGUACACACUUUGGUAAAGUGAAACCGCGAAUGGCUCAUUAAAUCAGCUACAUUUUAUUAGAUCGUACACUGUUACUUGGAUAACUGUGGGAAUUCUAGAGCUAAUACAUGCCGAGAGUCUCUGCUCUUCGGGGCAGAGCGCAGUUAUUAGACCAAAACCAGCCGUAUUCUUCGGGGUACGCUCUUUUGGUGACUCUGGAUAACCUUCAGCCGAUCGCAUGGCCUCGUGCCGGCGACGUAUCUUUCAAGUGUCUGCCCUAUCAACUUUCGAUGGUACGUGAUAUGCCUACCAUGGUGAUAACGGGUAACGGGGAAUCAGGGUUCGAUUCCGGAGAGGGAGCCUGAGAAAUGGCUACCACAUCCAAGGAUGGUAGCAGGCGCGCAAAUUACCCACUCCCAGCUUGGGGAGGUAGUGACGAAAAAUAACAAUGCGGGACUCUAAGAGGCCCCGUAAUUGGAAUGAGUACACCUUAAAUCGUUUAACGAGUAUCAAUUGGAGGGCAAGUCUGGUGCCAGCAGCCGCGGUAAUUCCAGCUCCAAUAGCGUAUAUUAAAGUUGCUGCAGUUAAAAAGCUCGUAGUUGGAUCUGGGGCUUGAGGUCGCUGUCUAUCGUUUCGGCGAUGACGGUGAUGCUCAGCUCUGCUUGCCGGUGACUGUUGCGGUGUUCUUCACUGAGCGCUGUAGCAGCACGGCACGUUUACUUUGAAAAAAUCAGAGUGCUCAAAGCGUGCUUGUCGCUUGAAUAAUGUUGCAUGGAAUAAUGGAAUAGGACCUCGGUUCUAUUUUGUUGGUUUUCGGAGCUUGAGGUAAUGAUUAAGAGGGACGAACGGGGGCAUUCGUAUUGCGGUGUUAGAGGUGAAGUUCUUGGAUCGCCGCAAGACGGACUACUGCGAAAGCAUUUGCCAAGAACGCUUUCAUUAAUUAAGAACGAAAGUCAGAGGUUCGAAGACGAUCAGACACCGUCCUAGUUCUGACCAUAAACGAUGCCGACCAGCGAUCCGUAGUGGUUGCUUUAUGGACCCUACGGGCAGCCUCCGGGAAACCAAAGUAUUUGGGUUCCGGGGGAAGUAUGGUUGCAAAGCUGAAACUUAAAGGAAUUGACGGAAGGGCACACCAGGAGUGGAGCCUGCGGCUUAAUUUGACCCAACACGGGAAAACUCACCCGGUCCGGACACCGUAAGGAUUGACAGACUGAUAGCUCUUUCUUGAUUCAGUGGAUGGUGGUGCAUGGCCGUUCUUAGUUGGUGGAGUGAUUUGUCUGGUUAAUUCCGAUAACGAACGAGACUCUAGCCUGCUAAGUAGUG